rnacentral:rRNA from 1 species
UACGUAGGGAGCAAGCGUUGUUCGGAAUUACUGGGCGUAAAGGGCGCGUAGGCGGCCUUCUAAGUCGAACGUGAAAUCCCCGGGCUCAACCCGGGAACUGCGUCCGAUACUGGAAGGCUUGAAUCCGGGAGAGGGAUGUGGAAUUCCAGGUGUAGCGGUGAAAUGCGUAGAUAUCUGGAGGAACACCGGUGGCGAAGGCGGCGACCUGGGUCGAUACUGACGCUGAGGCGCGAAAGCGUGGGGAGCAAACAGG